rnacentral:sRNA from 1 species
AAGGAGUCUAACAUAUAUGCGAGUGUUCGGGUGGCAAACCCUGACGCGGAAUGAAAGUGAACGCCUCACGGCUUAGGUGUGAGUCCCUGUCGACGCAACAUCGACUCACCAUGAUCUUUAUGUGAAGGAUUUGAGUAAGAGCAUAUCUGUUGGGCCCCGAAAGAUGGUGAACUAUGCUUGAAUAGGGGGAAGCCAGAGGAACCUCUGGUGGAGGCUCGCAGCGGUUCUGACGUGCAAAUCGGUCGUCAAAUUUGGGCAUAGGGGCGAAAGACUAAUCGAACCUUCUAGUAGCUGGUUCCCGC